CAGUCCCGCGGGAAUACGUAGGUGGCAAACGUCGUCCGGAAUUAUUGGGCGUAAAGGGCUCGCAGGCGGUUUCUUAAGUCUGAUGUGAAAGCCCCCGGCUCAACCGGGGAGGGUCAUUGGAAACUGGGAAACUUGAGUGCAGAAGAGGAGAGUGGAAUUCCACGUGUAGCGGUGAAAUGCGUAGAGAUGUGGAGGAACACCAGUGGCGAAGGCGACUCUCUGGUCUGUAACUAACGCUGAGGAGCGAAAGCGUGGGGAGCGAACAGGAUUAGAUACCCGUGUAGUCCCUGUCUCUUAUACA
rnacentral:rRNA from 1 species